UCUCGCUCGCACUCGCUGCGGGUGGCACCCCGCGACCAGUUGCAUGUGAAGCUUUAGUCAGUGACUAUAAUUACUGACCUGACCGACCGGUCGGCUAAUGAUCCAACCAAGCCGGUCAACAACUCCUACACAAAUACACAUACAUACACACAAACACACGCACACGUAGGCGAUUGGGGUCCUGGCAAUGCACACGCACACACCCAGUGGGCUCAAGUGUCCUUUGCGUGUUUGGGGCACACAAAAUGAACGUGAAUUAUGAUCAAAUUUCGAAAUAAAUAAACGCGCGGCUCCAAAUGAUUUUUAUGCCACACAGCUGUCGCAAAAUGA